rnacentral:rRNA from 1 species
AUACGGAGGGGGCUAGCGUUGUUCGGAAUUACUGGGCGUAAAGCGCACGUAGGCGGAUUAAAAAGUUAGAGGUGAAAUCCCAGGGCUUAACCCUGGAACUGCCUUUAAAACUAGUGGUCUAGAGUUCGAGAGAGGUGAGUGGAAUUCCAAGUGUAGAGGUGAAAUUCGUAGAUAUUUGGAGGAACACCAGUGGCGAAGGCGGCUCACUGGCUCGAUACUGACGCUGAGGUGCGAAAGCGUGGGGAGCAAACAGGAUGAGAAACCCUAGUAGUCC